CCAAACCACUUCACCCUUCCUCUCGUCUUCGGCGGUUGCACGCUCACCCACUCCGCGCACUAAGCACAGGUUCCGUGGCCACAACGAAAAGGUAGCGGCCUUACCGCCGUGGCGAGGGCGUCAACGUUGCCAAAGGCCAGCAGCUCCGGAGCUCGAGUCUGCGGAAGGCAUGCAUGGAUGACCUUUCCGACAGUAUACGGCGCUUCCGGGGGCGGCGCCCGCAGCAACGGCCUCGCCAAGGUGCCGCAGCAAAGGAGAGUGCGCAGCCGGGAAAGGCUCGCUGUGAGCCCACUGCGACAUCGUCGUCAACCCAACGCGGCAUUGCAGCGCUCAUCGAAGCGUGGAUGGGCGACCAGGGGCGACGGAGACCUCCACAGACCUCCGACGCUGCGCCACACUCCUCUGACUCCAUGCACCUCUCCUCGCCCUCACCGCGUCUCGCGGUGCCCCUGCCUCGUAAUGCGAGCUGUGAAGGGGCUGCGUGCGCCAGCCCCUUUGCGCCUGUAUCGCCCAAGGUGCAUCCUCUCCUUGCCGACACCAUCGGGCUUCUGGCUCCGCUGCGAGAAGGUCAAACAGCCCCUGCAUCAUCCCUGAUUUCACAGCUCUCAACUCCCGUCGUGGCCUCGGCAUGGGCAGCUGGCUGCCGCUCCGCCCCUUUCAGCUGUGUUGUCAUAGAUCUUGAAACUACCGGCUUCUCGGCCACCGCAAAUGAGAUUCUCGAAGUGGGCUGCGUCGAGUUGCGGUGGACGCCGCCUUCCCAAACGACCUCGACAGGGCCGAAGCACGUUGCUCCUUGCGCACCGUCGUUGGAGGAGCAAAGCAUGUGCGGUGCCAUCGAGGGACUGUGGACACGCGGGGGGCGAGUGUUUCACCGUUACGUGCGGCCCUCCGACCCCCGCCGCAUCUCCGCAGCCGCUGCAGCCGUUCACGGAAUCACGUGGGAGACGGUGCAGCACUGCUCCCCGUGGACGGUGGCGGCAAGUGAGUUGGUGGCCUACAUGACCCUUGUUGGAGCCGACGCUCCCGUUUCCGCGUCCGCGCAGUUGGAGGCUGCGCAGCUCGGCGGGGACCGCGCUGUUCGUCUCCCGCCGCUGGUGGCGCACAACGCGUCAUUCGACGCGCGCUUCCUUGAGCAUCACCUGCGGCGGUGUGGCUACCAAAUAUUCUGGCACCCUCAAUACCCUCUGACGUGCACUCGGCAGUGGGCGCAGGUGGCCUAUCCGCACCUGCCAAACAAUCUGGAUGCUCUGUGCGCCUUUCUAAGCAUCGAUGGGGCGGCAGAUCGAGUCGCUAACGGCCACGGCGCCCUCACGGAUGCGACCUUGACGGCACUGCUGUUUCUGCAAAUGUGUCGUCGCUGGACGGAGCGGUUUGGUCGUGGCGAGUGAAGGUAUGAGACGAGGGCCGUUAGCUGCUGUUGAGUGGGCGGGGUGGGAACAGCGGAAGAAAACCUGCGGAACGGUGUGUGUGUGUGUGUGUGUGUGUAUGCGACGUCGCCCUCUGUUCGCUGAAGGGCGCUGUGUUUUUGACUUGCUUGACACACCCCUCGCCUUGCCGUCCUCUUCUUUCCAGCAAGCGAGUUGCACAGGACGCAAUCGUUGCUUAUCGGCACGUAUCUUGAAUAG
rnacentral:misc_RNA from 1 species